UACAUACAUUGUUAUCGAUAGUUGAAAAGGGUGUAAUUGUGAGAUAGUAGGAUUUGAAAUAAUUCAAUAUAUAUAUAUAUAUAAUAUAAUUAGACUAAAUUAAAAUCAAAUUAUAGCAUUUAAGUGAUAGUUAAGAGAAUUAAGCAUAUUAGAACUAGAAUAGUCAUAGAAUGAAUGAGUAACUAGAAAGCGAGAUACCAUAGUUGUAUCAGAGAUAAUUAUCAGUCAGAAGUAUAAGAUGAGCCUCGAUUAAGCCAUAAUUAUAUAAUUGAGCCUGAAGAAAAUAUCAGGGCCAAAACCAGACUAUAGCAGUUUGACGGUGGCUGGGCCCAAGAGGUUAAGAAAGUUAAUCGUAUUAAGACUAGAAUAAUAUUAGGAUAAAUGAUUCCCUGUUAAGUGGAGUGUCGCAAUAAUAAUUUUCGACUACAAAUGUUAACUAUUAUUAUUUGAUUUAUCAUAACUUUACCUUUGGUCGAAUUUUAAACUUGUCCAAAUAGUAUAAUUAACUUUAGCCCACUCCAUAUCAAAGCCAAUUACGAAAAAAAAAUAAAAAUAAAAAUAACCAAUCUGUCGCACCUCUAAUGUUUACGCUCUUCAUUUCGUACCAUCCAAACAGCAAAGCUGAAAAAAGUUCAAUGCUACAGUUAUACAAACAAGCUGUUAAAAAAAUAAUUUUUAUCUAAAUUUUACCCCCAAUCAAAAAUUUAUUUCAAUCUAAAUUUUUUUUUUUUUUGAGAGAAUUCAAUCUAAAUUUUACUCUUAGUAAACAAACAAGGUCAAAUGUAGGCACACUAAACUCACUCCGAACAAAAGACACAAAAGGAGUGGAUCCGAGGGUGGAGGGGUUUAUAACCUCUCACUCUUUUCUUAUCGAGUUUAGACAGAUUCGAAACAAAUUAAUUUUAACUUUAUUUUUAGCCUCCACUUAUUACUAUAUUCAACUAAGAUGCCGAUAAUACUGAAUUUUGAACAGAUAAGAACAAAUCAAAAAAAAAAAAAAAAAAUCUCCCACCCACCUUAGCGUAUCAGAUCAGAUUCAAAAUAAAUUAUAUUUUUUAUUCUUACUUACUGCCCUAUUGGAAACGAAUGGAAAAUGAUAUUUUAUCAAUCCGGAUCUAUUUACAUCGCUACGCACACAAAAAAAAAAAAAAAAAAAAAAAAAAAAAAAAAAAAAACCUCU
rnacentral:lncRNA from 1 species